ensembl:lncRNA
AGAAAACUGAGACAUAGAAGAUGAUUAGGCAAAUGUGCUAUGUACAAACAGUACUGCUGACCACGAAGAUGCCAGAAAUAUCUGAGAUGGCAGACUCUGAAGAAAAGAAGUGAUUAGCCAGAUUUAUUACUGGGAUGAUAUGUUAAAGAAUUAAAUCAGAAGCUGUAUGGAAAGGAAGUAAGGCUACAAGAGCACUAUAAAUGAAGAAGACUAAAAUGGAAAUCAUUCACAGCACAGCGAAAGAAUCAGAAAGCGAAGUGGCUAUUAGAAUCCAGAAGAAUAGAUAACAAAAAGGAAAAUAAUUCCCUAAAUCAAUCAAACAAUUAAACUGAAUCAUUUAGCAAACAUACAACUUCAUAAAUAUUCUCUCAAGGCAAAACAGAAAAUGCAGAAAAAAUAUGGAAAAAAAUCAUCAUGACUGAUUUCAAACAGGUAAAUACAUACAUACUCCCCUCUGCCUAAGAAAGCCUUGAAGCACAUGAGAAGAACUAGAGACCCUUUCGGCAUUCUAGCUAGGCUUUUCUCAAGGAGGGACCACCUUUCCAGUGGGGCUGGGGGUUGGAAUCCCUUUGGGGUUUGGGGCCACAGAGCUGAGGAUGAGCACAGACAAUAUUAUGAAGCAGUUUUCCUCUAUCCUGUCCCGACUGAGUUUUUCAUCCCCAGGGAUAACUACUAGUCCAUAUAAAGUUGUGCUAUUUAAACAACACCAAAAACCCCAACUAUAUACAGAUUUAAUAAUAGGGUGUGGGUUAGGAAACAAGGAAAAAGAAGAGUCGACUUUUACUGAAAUAUAAUAUACAUAUAAACAAGUUGACAACUGUUAAGUAUGCAGGGGAAUGAGUCUCCACAAAGUGAAUGCAUCAAGUAGCUGGCACCCAGAGGAAGAAAAAGACCAUUACCAACACCCCAGAGCUUCCUUGGUGCUCUUCCCAAGAUAACUUGGGAUGGUCCACUCCUCUGGACCCCUAGCAUUAUAUAUGAAUUUUGCCUCUUUUUUAGAACUUAAUUUAAAAGGAAUUAAUAUAGUGCAGUGGUUAUCCAACUUUUUGACUUAGAACUUUUAUAAAAUAUGGCACAGAUGAACCUAUCUACAGAACAGAAACAGACUCACAGACAUAGAGGACAGACUAUGAGGGGGAAGGAAUGAGAUGGACUGGGAGUUUGGGGUUAGUAGAUGCAAACUAUUACAUUUAGAAUGGAUAAGCAAUGAGGUCCUGCUGUAUAGCACAGGGAACUAUAUCCAAUCACUUGUGACAGAAUAUGAUAGAAGAUAAUAUCAGAAAAAAGAAUGUAUAUAUAAACAUGUAUGACUAGAUCACAUUCCUAUACAGAAGAAACUGACAGGACACUGUAAAUCAACUAUAAUAAAAAAAUUUUAAAAAGCUCCUUUACACAUUUAAAAAUUGAGGAUCCCAAACUGCUUUUUUUUAUGGGUUGUUGACUAUUAAUAUUUAUGUUAUAAAUUAAAACAGAACAUUUUAAAAUACAAGAGAAAGACAAAUACCAUAUGAUAUCACUUAUAUCUGGAAUCUAAUACAUGGCACAAAUGAACCUUUCCACAGAAAAGAAAAUCAUGGACUUGGAGAAUAGACUUUUGGUUGCCAAGGGGAGGGGGAAGAAGUGGGAUGGGUUGGGAGUUUGGGGUUAAGAGAUGCAGACUACUGCCUUUGGAAUGGAUUAGCAGUGAGAUUCUGCUGUGUAGCACUGGGAACUAUAUCUAGUCAUUUAUGAUGGACCAUGUUAAUAUGAGAAAAUAGAAUGUAUACAUGUAUGUGUAACUGGGUCACCAUGCUGUACAGUAGGAAAAAAAAAUAAUGUAUUUGGGGGGGGGGGGGGUUCCCGUCGGGGGGUAGCAGAAACAAACCUGACUAGGAACCAUGAGGUUGUGGGUUCGAUCCCUGGCCUUGCUCAGUGGGUUAAGGAUCUGGCGUUGCUGUGAGCUGUGGUGUAGGUCGCAGAUGUGAUCUGGCGUUGCUGUGGCUCUGGCAUAGACUGGAGGCAACAGCUCCGAUUAGACCCCUAUCCUGGGAACCUCCAUAUGCCGCAGGUGCGGCCCUCAAAAGACAAAAAAAAAAAAAAAAAAAGAAGCCACAAACAUAUUACAUUACCUAUCAGAGAGAUAUUUAUCACUUUCAUAUGGUAUGUCCAUUAAGAAUUUAUUGCCCGUUAGCUCCAAAUAUAUCCUUCACUGCCUGCUCCCUUAUAAUGCAACUGCCUCCUAUGAGCAUUUCGCCUUUGCAGUUGGCAAGAUGCCUAUGGGCUCUGUCAGUAGAGGGUGUUGAAGGAACACUGCAGGAGGAAGAAACUGCCCCUCCUGGUUCUGGUGUGCCUCCAUUGUUUUCUUCUCCUUCCUAUAGUGUGGCUGCCAGUGGGAUGUGUACAGGACACCCAGAGGCAUGAGUUUCAGUAGCAUCUCAGGCAGAUUCUCAGUAAGUCUCCCAGGCUUCUUAGCGGUUGGCUUCCCAGAGCUGGCUGCCUGAAGCCAGGAGGAGUGGUUCCUGUUGGCCAGUGCUGGCUCUGAUUUCCUUCCCAAAUGUACUCCAAAGUGCAUUUUAUGCUUGUUAAGCCUGUCUAUUAGUCCUCAUUCUGUGUACCGGGUCUGGCCAGAGGUGACUAGCAAAGUCCUCUUCCAUCUAGUGAAACUUUUCCAGUGAGGUCUGAAUCCCCGUCUUAUGAGGGAGUACCCUUCCAAAGUUUUUCCUUCCUUAGUAAUUCUCCUUCUCUUAUUAUCUUUACUGCCUUAUAGUUAAUCCCUUUGUAAUUAAUAAUCAUUUACAUUAAACUUUCUCUGCUCAAAUUAUUGUGUGAUUUCUGUCUCCCACCUGAACCUUGACUCAUAUAGCUUCUCAAACUCCACUGUAUGCCAGUUGAGCAGAAAGGGCAAAUAAUGUCUUAGUAAUAUUAUGAAAACUGUUUUGACCUUGCAGACUCCUUGCAAGGGCCUCAAAGACCCCAGAGGUCUCAGGACUACACUUUGGGAACUACCAAUAGAGAGCAUUCUUUUGUGUCUAAAUUCUUUCAUUCAAUAGUGUAUUCAUGUAUCAUCUAUACUGUUUUAAGCCUUUUCUUGGAUAUCUGGUUUAUUAAUGUUUCCCUCCAGUCUACUGCUUGUCAUUCUAUUAACAGCAUUUUUAGCAGAAUGAAAAAUUUUAAAUUUGAUGAAAUCCAAUUUAUCAAUUUUUCUUUGACGAAAUCAUGCUUUUGGUAUCAUGUCUAAAUACUCUCUGACUAAUGCCAGGUCCUGAAUAUCAUCCCCAAAAGUUAUAAACUUUUAGGUUUUAGAUUUAGAUCCAUGAUCCAAUUUGAGUUGAUUUUCAUAAAACACAUGAGAUUUAGGUCGAAAGUCAUGAGUUUCUAACUGUUCCAAUAUCAUUUGUUAAAAAGAUAAUCUUCUGUGGUAUAUGUACACAAUGGAAUACUAUUCAGCCAUAAUGCCAUAAAUGACAUAAUGCCAUUUGCAGCAACAUGGAUGGAACUAGAGAAUCUCAUCCUGAGUGAAAUGAGCCAGAAAGACAAAGACAAAUGCCAUAUGAUAUCACUUAUAACUGGAAUCUAAUAUCCAGCACAAAUGAACAUCUCCUCAGAAAAGAAAAUCAUGGACUUGGAGAAGAGACUUGUGGCUGCCUGAUGGGAGGGGGAGGGAGUGGGAGGGAUUGGGAGCUUGGGCUUAUCAGACACAACUUAGAAUAGAUUUACA